GUCAGAGCGUUGCCACGGCAGUCACACCGCGAGACGGUGGAGAGGAGGGAGCUGAAGGGAGCUGACCGGAACGGAGGAGAGAGAAGGGCGCUGACAGCAGUUGCAGGAAAGGUAAGUUACAGCUCUCUGCUAGCCCCCCUCCUACACAGCCCAUCCACUGGACCACCAGGGAAUGAGAGCCCCCCUCCCUUGCCAGCUAACAAGCAUGGAGGGGGGACAGAAAU